rnacentral:lncRNA from 1 species
UUUUCUUUUAUGUGGAUUUAGUCUUACAAACCUCUCAUACUAAUGUUCAUGUAAAGUACACUUGAGAAUUUGUGAGAGAUAAGGAUGUAAAAUAAAAAAGAUAUUAUGCCUCGUGAUUUGGGUCUGAUUUUGCGCAGGUAGACGUUGAACUUUCAGAAGAAUUACCCUUAAAAGAAGCACAUGAAAUUGGAGAGUGUUACCAAAAGCUAGCUUUCAAUAAUGUUAUUUAGCUAAAAAUACAUUACCGGAAGCAUACUUCUAUUUGACAUUCUAUGGGCAAAUUG